CUCGGGGGAGAGGGGGUCCCUCAGCCGGGAUUGUGAGAGGGUGCAGACCAGGCCGAGGGACCCCCACCGGUGCACA
rnacentral:pre_miRNA from 1 species